rnacentral:lncRNA from 1 species
UAAGUUUAUAUAUAGAUAGCUAUUAAAUACAUUUGACACUAUAAGGAGCUCUCUCUGCUUCUCUCCAUAGAGAGAGGAACAUUUGUGAGACAGUACACUAAUAUGGGGUCAAUGUUUUAAAUGCAGAUUUCAGCUACAGAAGCUACACCAGUGACAACUAUGAAUAUGGAUAUGACAACAAGCUUGGAAUUACAAGGUUGACAUCAAUGGCUGUAUUAAUAUGAGACAAGAUGGAAACGUAGAUGGCAUGCAAGAGGGUAACCUGCUACUUCUUUCACAUGAUUUUGAAUUGGUCAGAGCUCCACAAAAUCUGCUCCAACUGAUGCCAAUGGCAGAAUGCCUCUUGAUGCUCAUGGGAGCUGCACUGGACCAGCCUUGUAUCCUUUCCACACGCUUACUGUUUUUCAGGUUUCCCUGGCCAAAAAUGCUGCAUCACUCUGCACAUCUUAAUUCUGUUAAUAAAAAAAUUGGUCUUGGAUUAACAUCCACUGCCUUAGAAAUGUCCACCUGAAGUCUUGAAAAGAACAAGUCAGACAAAGGGUUGAAUUCACGUGUUACUUCUCCCCAUUGUUUAAAAAGCCCCACUAGACAACAAGUUAAAAUAAAUAAAGAAAGAAAUCCA